UACGUAGGGGGCAAGCGUUAUCCGGAUUUACUGGGUGUAAAGGGAGCGUAGACGGUGAUGUAAGUCAGAUGUGAAAGCCCGGGGCUCACCCCCGGAAGUGCAUUGGAAACUGGUGGACUCGAGUCCCGGAGAGGAGAGUGGAAUUCCUGGUGUAGCGGUGAAAUGCGUAGAUAUCAGGAGGAACACCGGUGGCGAAGGCGGCUCUCUGGACGGUGACUGACGCUGAGACGCGAAAGCGUGGGGAGCAAACAGG
rnacentral:rRNA from 1 species